GAGAGAGAGAGAGAGAGAAGAGAGAGAGAGAGAGAGAGAGAGAGAGAGAAAGAGAGAGAGAGAGAGAGAGAGAGUCUUUGACGACUGAAUAGCUCAGAAUUGGUAGAACGUUACCGGUUUUGAUGUAGCGAAAGCUACUAUAACACAAAGAUCUUAUUUAGUCUAAGAAUUAAUACUUAAGAUCAAUGUUUUCUUAAAUUCGUUGAGAUCACCAAUGAUCUACCAAAAAUAAGGAAUAAAAGAAAAAACUCUCGACUUUUAUUAAUCAAAUAUAAAUAACUAUCUAAAUUUAAUAUAAUUAGUAAAAUAAAUAAUAAGAUAUUUGAAAAUAUUUCAUAUACUUAUUUGCAUUAGGUUUCAUACCCUUGUCCAAUUUCAGUGAUAAACUUUUCAAAAAUGUCAUAUAAAAUAUCAAAGAAAUAGCCAUAAAUGAAAACAUAUCUAUAUUUAUAAUUUUUGGAAGUCUUAUUAGUCCGUAGUUUGACUAAUAGUUCAUUAAUAUUUUUUUACUGGGUGAUCGGGUCCAUAUCUUAAAAGAAAUUAUAAUUUUACAAGCAAGCCUGCUGUUCAAUAUAUUAAAUAAAAAGUCAAAAUCAAAGGGAAAAAUAAGAAGUUAAUACAGUCAAACACAUUUCCAAAAUGAGAAUCGAAAUAAGGAAGAAAAAUAAGAGAAGGAAAUGAAGCCGUGACCCUGACUUUUAUCUAUAAAUUUAACUCGCCUUCGUCCUAUUUGCUCCACAUUUUUUUUUAAUCGUUCAUUUUCUGUAAGUUUUCAAGAUUAUUAUUUGAACUACGCUUUUAUUUUGAUUUUCUCUUUGCAUUAUAAGAUAAUUCUCUUAUUUUUCGAAAUAAUUGUUUCUGUUUAGAUUUUUUUGGUGAAAGACCUUCACAACUCUCCUCAAUGGUUUAUUAUUUUAUUAUUAUAUUCGCUAACUCUGUUUACCGUUUUAGGAAACCUAGUUAAUUCAUAAUUUCCAACUCAAUUAUUAUACUUUUUGAUGAAUUGUGAUUCGUCUUUAAUAGGUUCGACGUUCAUUGACUUUUUAAAAUAUUUACAGAUUCAUACAAUAUAAAACAAACAUCAACCAUGGUUUCAAACACUCAUGAGGACGGUCAGAUUGUGGUAUCAGAAAAGAUCACAUUGACAUCUCCACCUAGUUUAGUUUAUCCGAUCUUUAACUAAUGCAUCUUAUCUCAUCGAAUAAUGUUUUUGCAGAUGAUUGUAUGUGAUACAUGUGGUGAUCUAGGAUAUGAAGAUUUACUUGUCAUUUGUAGCAAAUGCAAAGUUGGUGCUGAACAUACCUACUGCAUGGUGGUAAAAGUCGACGUUCCCCCCGAGGAAUGGAUUUGCUAUGAUUGCACUGAAGAUAGAGAUGGAGUGCCAGAAGGAGAAGAAACUAGCUCCAUGGAAAGGAGAGUUGAAUCCUAUAUUGAUUUUUUUAAGGUAAUCACUACUAUAAUACAGCGUAUUUACACACAGAAGAAACUUUUUGUAAAAAUUGGUUGUCCAAAGAAACCAAAAUAUUUUUUGUUUUUUUUUUCUUUCCUUUAGCAGAUGGAAGAAAGAACAUUAUCUCAAGAACAGCCUGAUUUGUUGAGCACAAAUCUUAAUAUAGAUCUGAAUGCAGACCCCAAUAAUAUCGAUCUCAAUGCAGACCUCAACAGAGACAUGAACGAGGAACCUAGCUCCAGAAAAAGAAAAAUUGGACCCUCUGAUGAUCUUUCUAAGGCAAACCAUAACACCACACAUAUAUGCAAAAUAUGUUUUUAUCAGCCAAAAGUCCCAUUUUUUCCAAGAAAAUAUGAAAACCACUCUGUAUUUGUUUCCUUUUUGUAGUUGACAGAAGAAGCAUCAUCUCAAGCUGAUUUGUUGAACAGAAGAAGUCGUCCAAGAAUGGGGUUGGACUUGAACAAAGAACCUAACCCAGAUUUUGAAGAAGACCCUAACAUUGGUCUGAUGUAAAUGUAGGUCUUAACAUAGAUCUGAACGCAGACCCUCUAUAGAUCUCGUUGUGGAUCCGUAAUAUGAACUUAUCCAGUUAUCCUGACUUCCUGAGAUUGUAGUAUAUCUAUUUGGUUUGAAUUUCUAGUAAUUUUUAAAAUAAUAAAUUAGUAAAAGCGUCAUUAAGUUUUUAUAAAAGUGUCAUUUAAGUUUAUUUGUGACAAUAUUAUGUUGACAAAUAAGAACAACAAACGCCUUUUUCUGUUAAAAUAUAUUUGAAAAGAUUGUAAGUCAUAACAAAACAAUCUAUAAUAUAAUGAGGCAGUUAUCUCAUUCCUGAGCCGCCACGUCAGCGUUUUGGUGGGUUUCACUUUUAAAAAGUGUGAAAAAAUGUCAAGUCUGUGCCUCGUACUCCGGUUAUUGAGCUAUAAACACCAACUUUUAUACCACUAAACUAAAUGAUACUUUGUACAUUGAAGGCUGAAACUAAUAAUAUUUAUAAAGGUCGGAAACCUUUGCUUCUUCGGUUUUCUCUGUGGACCGGACCUACAAGUGUAUUACGAGUUUCAUUUUUAAAUGAGGUUUAUCACGUUAAUUUUCUAUUUAUCACAUUUAUUUAGUAUAAUUGUUUUUAAUUGAUUUCAUGAGUUUUUGUUAAAUAAUAUUAUUUGCAGAUUUCAUGAUUCAUGGGUUUAUUCCCGCCGGACGUGCUAAUCAUUACAUGCAAUUUUUAAAAGCCGGUUCUAUAGUGAAAGUCGAUCCUUUUGAAGUUGCUAGGUGCUCAAGCAUGUAUAAGAUAAUUGAUCAUCCAUUCCUCAUUUGUUUCAUCUCACCAACUAUUAUUGAUGAAGUCAUCGCGGGUGCUCUUGAGAUCAAUCUCCAAUCAUUAUUAAACUGUUUUACAAUUUCCAAGUGAUUGCAAAGACAAACCUAGAACUCUCAUGUAUAUUAUCAUAUUGCAUCUGAGUUUAUAAUAUGUUUUGUUAUCAUAACUGAUAUUUAAACUCGUAGAUGUGGUUGGGAAAAUCCGUUCUAUCCAAGGCUUUGGCCUUAGCAAAAAAAUAACUCGAGUCGUUAUUCGUCUCCUCAUUGAUCCGUAAGAAACAAUCAACACACAAUAUCCUUUAUAUUAUUAUCUAUAUUGUGCUAACAUCAAUAAUCAAAAAUAUUUUCUAACCAAAUUUUGUGGUCGUCUACUUAUCUCCCUUAUCAAACUAAUUUUACACAAGCCUUUAUUUUACAAUUUAAAAGAAACCACAACAACCUAAACAAUCAAAACACCAAAAACUAAAAUUUCAAAAAAAAACGAAUCAUUAAUGAUCACCUCUCUUUUUUGUCUAAUCUUAGAAAUAAACUUCGAAACAAAUAUACCAAACUAAUCACCUCAACUAAAACUCAACGACACAUAAAUCGAGUCAGCUAAACAAAUACAAGCUACACGGCCAGCUAUUUAAUAAUUUAUAAACUUACUUUCGCAACGAUACAUAUAUCGAAUCAACUAAACAAAUACAAACUACACAGCCACCUA